AUUGCAGGGGUGGUGGAAAGGUAGGGAAAGGGCUGUGUGAACAAAGUUAUUCUGCUGUUUUAGCAGCUCUUUUACUCCAGCUGGGUGGCUGUCAGGGUAUAGCUAGUUCUGGUGCAAGGGAACCAUUACGUACUUGAAUGCUGUUAUUAUAUUUGAUGCGAGAAGAAGUGCACAUUUUAGGUAUUGUUCUCUAAAAAAUCUAGUUGGUCCCAUUUUCUCUUUACAGGGCCCUUCUAAUUGCAUUCAGGCAUUCGGUGAAUGUGUCGGUGAUCUUGAAAUGGGAAAGGUAUUUAAUUGGGUAAAUUCAACUCAUCAUUUGGGAAUGAUGGGAAUAUUUGUGGAUAAAUUAAAACCAAAGAAACUUUAUUUACAGAUUUUGGCUAGAGAUGGAGAGCAAAAUGAAAAUGAGGACGUGGAGCACUCUUAUUGAGAUUUAGCAGGAUGAAUUUCUAUAAAAAGACCCAAAGGAGGUAAUAUAAUCACCAGGAUGAUCAGAACAUUCCUUUUCAAUCUUGUUUUUUUCCAAUAGAAGUGGAUAAUUUUUUUUUUUUUUUUUUUUUUUUUUUUUUUUUUUUUUUUUUAAUGAAAAAGAUAAUUUCCAAUCUUUUUUUUAUGGUUAAUGACUGAAAACAGUUGUGUGACUUUUGUUAGUCUUAAAGCGUGUAAGGUGUGUUUUUGUAAGCGCGGGGUAUGUAGUCUUUACCGAGACUAUACAUCAUCGAGAGGUUUUGCUCUAGUUCUCAGUUCGUGUAUUAAAAGAUUGGACUUUUUAUGGUAUGUGUUUUUGUAGUCCUUGCUGAGCAUGUUUAGUAGUUAUCCAUUUUUUCUCUAUUUCACGCGUGUUUAUGUAGUUCUGGCUUAUCAUGUUUAGUAUUAUCAAGGGUUCUAAAGUCAAGUGUCUUAGAUUCUGUGAACAUUUGUCGAUAUUUAUAUUCAAGACGGUUUUAUAAUUAUAAGACAUUCCUUGGGAGUGGUUAGUUCUACAUGGUUAUAUUUUAUUAUGUGAUCAUAAAUAAAUCACUAGGAGCUUUGUGGGAGAGGACUCUAUAGUUACGUGGUUUAGAUCUAUCUUCCUUAUCCCAAACAAAAAAGCGAGACCACCUAUACUCAUGUUUGUGUAAACCUGAAAUGAUAUCGGUGCUUUUGAUUGUUCCAUUAUUUGAUGGCUGAUUAGUUGUAUGGUUUUUGGUUUUGUUAGAAUGCCAUGUCAAUCUUUUUCUCUUGUGGUUUGUUUUUAGGUUCCAUCUGUAUGUUUAAUUUUAAGUGAAUCCUUAAACCGUCCUCAAAGAUAUCAAAGGGAAGCUGCGGCGGCUGUAGUAUCUGAGUUUGUUCGCUACAGGUAUAUCCGGAGUCAUCUGCCUUCCUGUUUUGUAUUGUGGCUCUUUUUUCUAUUUUCUUUUGGUUUGUCUAUGUGUUUUGUGUCAUUUUUUUGAGUUUUUGUUGUCUUCAAGAGCCUACACUCCCUCCCCUUCCCCUUCUCCACCUCCUCUUGAAGAGUGAAGUGCUUAUAAUCUUUGGAUUUUAUUGCAUUUUUGUUCGCAACUUCAGUUUAGGAUUGUCCAUUAUGUUCUCCUAAGAUUAAAGCAGUUUUCUUGAAAUAUAAAAAAAUUGUGGUCGACUAUGAAAGAGAGAAUUUGAAAUGGAAACAUUUCUAAAAUUGCAGUAGCACCAAUUGAAGAUAAGUUAAGAGAACAUAAAGUUAAGUGAUUUGAUAAUACAAUGGAGACCAGUAGAUGAUACAAUGAAGACUAGCAUAUGACAAUACAACGAAGACCAAUAGAAGAUACAUUUAAGAAGAGUGAUAAGAUUAAUGCUAAUGGAAGUGCUAUGGGGAGGGGUAGGUCUAGAUUGACAAGAGGUGCUGUGGUAAGAAAGGAUCUGAAUUUAUUUUUCUAAACACAGCCUUGAUGGUGAAAAAGAAUAUUCAUUCAAUUGUGGUGGUUAAAAAAUUUUGAAUGGAAGUUUUAGCGAUUAAAAAAUUUUGAAUGGAAGUUUUAGCGAUGUUAAAGUAGAAGGGGUGAGGCAGUGGGAGCGAAGGGUUAAUCCACUUACAUUGUGGCAAUCAAUUCUCUCCCUUUAUUAUCAAUAUCAUUUUCAUAUUUCGCUUCUACGAUCAUUUUUUUCUCUUUUUUUUGAUUAGUUGUUUCUUUAACUCUCCUUGCCACUACUAAUUUAUUGAUUUUCUCAUCUUUGCCUUCUAGUUAUUUGUACAUAUCAUUUAGGUCUUUAUGUUGUUUAGUUAUGUUCUUGGUCAGAUUUGUUGACGUGGGGAACUUUGUAGUUUAUAAUUUAGUGUAGUCAAGAGGCCUUUUUGCUAUGCGUUUUGUAGAGGAUUAAUACCACUAAAUGAAAAUAAGCACCUGUAGAAGUGCUAAGAUUAAAAAGUACUCCGAGGGGUCUAGCACCCUUUCUUUGGUAGCAUUAACGUUUUACAUGCAGGGGUUUACUCGCUUACUCAUACCUACUUUUGCUUUUAUAGCUACUUCACUAUCCUAACUUGGGUUUUAAUUCUUUAUAAAUGCUUCUUGGAGCAAAAUAUUCUUGUUAUGUCUUGUUGCAUUGUGGUGCCUUCAGCUUGUACCUGUAGCCUUGAUUUUGGUUUUGAAGGUGGAAUAAUGUUUUUUGAAUUAUUGAUGCGAAAGCAUUGGUGUGUCGAUGUUUUGUUGGUGUCUUGCGAGCAUGGUUGGUUCAAAUCUUAUAUAUUGUAGUUAUAGAAGGGAUUUAUCGUGGUCGCUGAAGGUUGUAGAUGAGAUAGAAAUGCCUAUAAGGUAAGAGAGGGAGGUGGCUUAUUGAUGUAGAACGUUAAGAAACUAGGCCUUGUUAUGAUUAAAACAACAAAGUUUGCAAUAUAACAAGUCUAAAAAAUCCACCCUAUGCAAACAGCGCAGAUUCAAUCCGCAAGCAUGUCAAGUGUCCCUUAUAACCUAGUUUUUCCAGUAACAAAACUAAAAUCUGUUUUAUGAUAUUGUCUGAAGACGGAACAUAAAACUCUGAGAGAACUUCAACGGUUCAACCUAUUUUAUUUCUUCUAGGGACCUCUUCAUGCAUGGAUAAUGUCGCCAAAAUGAACAAUCUAAGAAAAACCCACCAAGGUACCUUGGAUUUUGGAAAGGGUGUGCGGAAGUGUAGUAAGGAUUCUUUAUCCGCAUGGGCUUCUAGAAAUUUCUGAGAUACAAUAACAUGGUAGAUGUAACAAUGGAUUCUGGAGCACUUUCGUUAGUUUUCAUUUCAAAAUAAUUUUGGACAGGAUGCUUCUGUAUCAAUUUCUCAUGGGUGGGGAAAAUCUCAAUGUUGUCCAGUUCUUUGUCUUCCUCUCCUUGAACUUCUUUUUUUAUUUUGUUUUUCCUUUUGCCUUGAAUACCAUUAACCUUGUAUACUAUGGUUGGGAAUCCUUUUUUUCCAUGGGAAGAAUUUGUGUCUGGAUUUAACUUCGACAGUCCAUUGGAUGCUUAGACAAUGUCUGCACUUCUGCCCUUUUUCGUGCACAAUGGCUUUCAGUGUUUUAAAAUGAUUUUGAUGUGUUUUUUAUUUAUAUUUUCUGUUAAAUUGGGUUAAAUAAUGUUUAUGAUUUUCCCGUUUUUCAUUAAUGCUGAAACCUCCAUGGUGCAGUGAUGGUUUUGAUUCCUUGUUGGGAACAGAUGGUUGAAGCGUUCAGUCGGCAUGUGUCCUGAUGAUCUCCACUGUUGAAACUAGACGCCUUUGUCUAAAGGGACUGUGUACAGGGUCUUUAUAUUGAGUGCUUUGACAUUUGCUCCUUAUUUCCCUUAUGGUUUCUAUGUUUCGAUACAUCCCUUUGGUUAGUUUUUUUGUUUUUUUUUUAUUGUGACAAUCGUAUUUACUUCUUUUCCCGCAUGCAUGUUCAUGGUACUCUGUACUUGUUGUUUUUGCGGCAAAAACACAAGUUUCAAUUGUAAGUUGGGCAAUUGAGUUUGGAGGAAUAUUUUUUGAUUAGUUGUCUAUAUUUUGUGCCAUUGAUAUUACUCUUUUGAGUUAGUGAGUGAUUCUCCCUGUUCAAUUUUAUAACUGAGUAAGUAUGAUAUUAAGGUUUGACACAUGGUUUUUUCCCCCCCCCUUUUUUUUUUGCUUCUCGUGAAUCAGAGCUGCAAGAUUCUUGCUAGAAUUCUUUGUCGUUGAUAAAAAUACCUAUGGCAGUCAUAUAAACCAUCUCUAUUUCUAAAUCAUCAUAUAUGCCUGUUCUCCUUUGUCGCAAAUAGAACCCUAGCAUUACAACAUCUUUUUCUCCUCAAUUCGCAAACAUCAUCCGUUUCAGAAAAUGCAGCUGAACAAUGCAAAUCUGGUAAUCACAACCAUUGUAGAGCAUCACUUGCGUACCCUUUGAUUGAUUAAACCUCUUGUGUCAACAACAGUUAGAUUGUCAAAUCCAACUCCAUUGCAAUAACAAUGCUUGUGUUCUCUCUCUCUCUCUCUCUGCCCCCCCUUCGAACUCCACUGAAGUCGCCAGCCUCUCUAGUUCUCUCUCUCUCCAUCGAAGUUGCCGGCCUAUGUUGAUAGCAUGUUGUAAGUUAACCGUUUUUUGUGUUGGGUGGGGUUCUGUUUAUCUCCUGCAAAAGAACGAAACAGUCCGGUCAUUAUCUUCUAUUGCUAAGCAGAUAUUCGGCUACGUUUAUGCUAACGCUGAGAUUGUUUGGGUGGGUUAAGAAAUUUGGGUUCGCUCUCCUCUCGUACUCCUUUCCGUUUUGUCAUAAAAGCCUAUUUCCCUGGGAAAAAAGUUUUUUCCCCCCCCCUGGUCCCCCCCCCCCCCCAUCAUUUUUCAUUGAUUGUUAUGCAUCUUUUGUUGGCUAUUAUGCUCUACCUUUGUCUCUUUCCGCUUGAAGCUUGCGACUUUUUCACAGGCUCACAACACCUGCUUCACUUUUGGUUUUUAACUUGACAGUCUUGAAUUCCGUGGGCUCCGCAUACUGAUUUGAAGGGGUAAUACGUUUGUUUUGAAUUAAUUAGUUCAAUUAUCUUUAGUAUCAGGGAUAUACUUCAUUAGGGUAAGUUAAAAAGUCUUCUCCUCUUCCUCCUGUUACUGCUAGGGGACCACUGGGGAGGUGGCAAUUUAAGGUUUGGUGCAAUAAUAUCUCGUCUUUAAUAUCAUUGCUACUUUUUGGUGUAUUAUUUCUCUUCCAUCGUAUUGAACAAUGCAGUAUUGGUCUUAAUUAACACACAUCUUUUUUUCCAGCUUCCUAUAUUGCUCCAAUUUGCUAUCUUUGUGGAAUUUGUGCUCGCAGAUACCAUCCAUCCAUAUUCUCCGAUUACACAACUGAAGUUCUGGAUUAUAUUAGCUUUGCUGGAUGAAUUCCUAUGUAAGCUGUUUCAAUUUACUGCUGUAUCAUGCUUGCUGAUGGUGCUUACCUUAACCUUUCGAUCUGUCUUGUACGGUUGAAUGGAGCUUAUGUUUACCUCCUCCUCCUCCUCCUCCUCCUCCUCCUACUUCUACUUCAUGCCGUUAAUAUGCCUAGUUGCACAGGUUCUUGAGUCAUCGCCCCAUGAUGCUGUUGAACCAAUAUUAUUAAACCUUUCAGUUCGACUUCGGAAUCUUCAAGUACGCUCUCUUACUUUUUCAUUUUUAUGCACUAAAAUUCUGUUAAUCCGAUUCAUGGCAUUUCAAAUUUAGAAGUUUGAUAUUUUUGUGUUACUCUGUGUGUGAUUCUAAUAAUAUGCUCUAAAAUACUUGAUUAAAUGUCGUUAACUGAGUCAUCAAAAAUAAAUAAAAAAUUGUCAACUGAAUAAUAACUGUACUUAAGGACCGAGGGGACAAAAGGCCAUAUUCUAGACCUAGGAUCACCAACUCUCUUUCUAGGCUAUAAUUUUUAGUUUGAUAUUUAUCAUGAUGUAAAUCAUGCUGCCUUUCCUUUGCUACAUAUGAAUAAUAGUAUUAUUUUCCUUGAAUAGUUGCUUGGUCCAUGUGAAAUUGAUUUCUUUUAUUUGUGUGAAGAAAAAAAUGUCAAUGAGUUUUCAAGAUCAAUUUUUAUUUCUAUUUUGCCUCUUUGAUUCAGUAAAAUCCUUUGGUCUGCAAGUUAAGAGUUUUGGAAGCCAAAGCCAUCAUGCUCUCCAUUAAGAAAAAGGGAGGAAGGUAGUUUUGACAUAAUAUUCAAGGGUGAAAUUUGCAUAAAGAACAUAUAAUGUUUUGAAAUUACAUUGCUUUUUCAUAAUCAUUUGCUGCCCCCCUAAAAAUAGUUUUGCAUAAGCUUCUCUAAUUUGAUAGCUAGGAGCUUGGUUGCUCUUCCCAAGUAAAGGCGCGCGCCAUCGCCAAUUAUGUAAGACGCUUUGUUCUUUGAACUCAAAAUCCAGUGUCUAGAGAGGUCUUACCAAACACGGGUCUAGUCAAAUCUCUAGCAUUGAUAGCAUUAUCCAGUAUACCCGUGGGUUAGCAAGAACUCUAUUUUCAAAUGUGUGUAAUGUCAUAGUUAACGGUCAUCUAACCUAACUGCGUUAUUAGGUAGUAGCCCACAAUCAAAACCCUCUCUUAGUAGCUUGCCAAGAAAGAUAUGCAAUGUUGAUAUCUGCAACAUUUCCUAUCAUGUGUAAAGGAACUGUUUCAUUUUUUUUUUGGUUUCUUUUUGUAUUACACACCUAAUUAUUUAUUCCUUUUUCACAUCACUGUUAAUUGCUGCACCCUCACUUCCCUCUGUAAAGCUACUCUUCCGCCAGAAACUAAAGCAGUCUCCACCGUCUUAAAGCCUGGAUCCUAUGGCAUUAUAGUGCUCCUCUCAAAUGUGGGCUGUUUUCUUGCGCUUAGAUUAUGGUAAAAGCUGAUUCCAGAGAAGUGGAAGCUGAAAAGCAACAAAAUAAAGCUUGGGUAAACGGAAAGCUGGUGUUGAGGCAAACAGUCUUGGCAUAGUCUCCGAGAAGAAAAAAAGUUGAACGCUGGGCUUAUAAGCUGCAGCAAACACCACCAAUUUGUCUGAGUGUUGUCCUCCAAAAAGUUCAUUUAUAUCCCUUCCAAUGUUGACGGGAUAAACUGGGAUUUCAAAAUGACCUCUUGGCUCUUGCAUUUAAAAUCAUGCCUGGACAAGAAAUUUCGAUGUAAAAUCAACAACUAAUGAAUUGUAUUUUUGGCACACCAUCACCGACACAUCAUCUUCUGAUGGGCUUAGGCCAGAAAGGUCUAGGUUUUAUUGAGUUAGAAGUAUUUUAGGGAUUUUGAACUGGAAAUGGUUAUACUUGACUUGACCUUUGAAGUGGCACGUCGCCUGCUUUACCCAUGAAGCAUUAAAAAAUUUCCACAGCAAUAUUCAAAUGUUUUCUGAUGGUUAGAUGAUGGCCAAACAGUGAGAGAAAGGAAUUGGAAUAAUUAGGGCUUGGGCUAGGCCUUAAGUAGUUUUUUUUUUUUUUGGGGGUUGGGGUUGGGGGGUGGUGGGUUGGGGUUGGGGGGUUGGUAUGUGUUGUGGUGGGUUGGGGGAGAGGGAAGGGGGGUGCUCUAAUAGUGCUAGUUUGAAAAAGAUGAGCUACUUAAGAGGGGGAAGAACAAAAAGUUGGGGCUUCUUUAAAUAAAGACUAUGAGACCCCAAUUCAAAUUAAUCAAAUCAAUCCAGCCUUACCCUGUAAGAAUGAUCCCAAUGUAUUGACCUAAAGUUUCACGGUAUGUUCGAUGAUGCUGACAUAGUUCAAGAAAGUCCAAAGACUAAAUAAAGACGUCAAAUCAAGAAGAACGGCAAAAGAAAUACCCAUUAUGGUUCAUGAGGCCCAGAAGCUCGAAGCAUACUAACCAAUGGAUAGAGUUAGAUUCCACAAGGAAAAAAGAUGUGUCUGUCAAGUUUGGUUUAGCAAACAAAUGCAGGUAAUCAUUAGCAUUUUUCUGCUUUGGAAAUGCAUCUAACUUAAAUCCUAGAAAGUCGAUCACUGCUGAAAAAUUUACGUUGUAGAGUUGUUUUUUUUCGAAUGCAUGUUAUCCACUUUCAUGUUCUUAUUCCUGUCUGUUUGCUAAAAUUGUUCAAGAGUCUAAAAUAUAGAUAUAGCCUACAUCUAAAACAAAUGAUGUAUCUAUGCAUGGAGGCAGAUAUGGGCAUGAACCCGAACAUAACGCGCCAAUGCAUUGCAGCAUUUGGUAGCUUAGCAUUAUGGAGUGGGGACAACAUGAGGCUUUCCCGCAGGUCCUGUGUUGAUUUGGACCACACCCUUCGAUACUAUUUUCUGAUCACUAGUUUGAAGGAAUUAAUUAAUGAUUUUGAUUUUUAAAUUGUUUACUUAUUUUUAUUUUACAUAUAUGCAGAUAAGCAUCUUAGUUUAGAAAAUGAUAUUUACUGAUGCUCAUUUCUCCCUUUUUAUCUGAAUAUCAUCCAUGAUUUGAACUAAUUGUUAUUCAAAGUCAGGUGAACAAGUAUUUUACUGAAGGAAAAAUUUGUACGCCUUUCAUUCUAGAAUCCUUGUGCUUCAUUUUAGUGUUUAUUUUCUUUUUUGGAUUUUGGUGGACUGUAAGAAUAGAAUAUUUGGUUUGUCUCCUUGUGGGAUAUGGUAGGCAUAGAUUGCUAUGUUACACAAGAUUUGACUAAAGGAUUGUUCGAUAACCCAAUUUGGCCCUUAACUUAAUGUUUUUAGUGAAAUUAAAUUGAGUUGAAUAACUUUAAUUCAUGUCACAUAGAAAGUCAAGUAUCUCAUAAAAUAGUUUAUUAUUUUAAGUAACUGACUUUUUUGAGCGAAUGGUUAAUGUUGAAUGCUGAAUUUGCAACUGCCUAUGCGGAUGUCGUCAUUGAGGUGUACGAUGUUGAACCCUCCGCUAACCCCUGUUUCCAUUGCCACCUCGCUGCUAUCAUUUUCACUCCACUACCUCCACUAUCACCAUCAUCACUGAGACCUUGCUGCCAUUGCAUCUCUACCAUCAUAGUCUCAAUCAUUACCCCCACCACUUUUGCGACCACUAAUAUAACCUCCUCACCAUCAUCACUCCCACCUUAUCACAACUGCUGUCAUCCCUCCACCAAUACCAUCCCUCAACUAUAGUCAUCAUGCCACCACCACCACCACCAUCCAACCACCAUCACAAUACCACUGGCUCCACUGAUUAUGCCCACUUCUAUUGCCACCCCUAUCAUUGCCACCGCCAACCCCCCUCCACUACCGACCCCACUAGUGACACUGCCAUCACCAACCCACCGCCAUGAAACCACCACCAAUACGAACACAAUGAUACCACUACAUCAGUUCCACUACCGCCGCCGCCACCACUGCCACUGUCAGCACAACCACUAGCCCACCAUUGCACUAUUGGAUAGCUUGCUAUUAAUGUUUUAAAUACGGUUAUCGGGAUACAUAUCGAUGUUGGUCAUACUACCAUGUACAACCGAUUCAGAUAGAACGGUUGAUUUAUUGGUAAAUAUUGAUAUUGGAAGGCUAAAAUCGCGAUUCGUAUUUGAAUCAUGCUGCUUUUACAUUGUUGGCUACAUUUCUUAACAUCAUAAGCUUUUGCGAUAAUUGAUGAUCUAACAUGGAAUCUGAGUUUGGUUUCUGAGUUCAAGGCUCUCUUUGCAUUAGUUCCCUGAUUCCAUUAUGCUUUUCCCGUUUUAAUUAUGAUUUUCUAUAUAUGGAUGGAUAUCCAUGUGCAAGGGGAGGUUGCACAUGGGGUAGGGUGGGUAGGGUGUUGGGUGACUUGAUGUAUAUUGUUGGUCUCAGUUCCUUACGCUUAAGCUUUUGGGUCAAUUGGACAUUCACACACCACCAUCGCAUUCGCCGCCGCCGCCACCACCAUAAUUUCAACAUCAGCGCAUCUGCCACCAUUGCCACCAAAAUACCACUGCUGCUAUGAGCACCAUUCCAUUGCCAGCUCCCUCAUUUCUACCACCACCACCUAAGAAGCACUAAUACAUGGUGGUGUGCCAGUGUUGGACUCUUGUUUGAAGGUUUAUUCUUUUUUCUUUUGUAUUUUUGAACUGGACAUCCUUUGGUUUGUUAUGAUAAAAUUUGAACGUCUUUGUAAUGCAAAAAUAAAACUUGUUAAUAUUUUCAUUUAUGCAGACAUAUAUGUGCGUGUGUGUGUGCUGUGUUCUGAAGAGGGGGGAACACUUCAUUUCCCCCCCCUCAACUUCCCCCCUUCUCCAGAUUUCAUGUUGAUGUCCAUUCCUCCUGUCCGUAUUAGUGCUUCUCAGACCACCACUAUCUCACUAUCACACAACCGUCGCCACUACCACCACCAACCAACCAACCGAUUGGCUUUGUUACAUCUCCUCACUGUGACAUUGUAGUACCCACGUCUAAAAGACCAGUCAUCCAUACCCGCUCUAGAUAAUUCCUGACCACAAGUUAAAUGGAUUUCUCUAUAUUCCGAGGACCAUGAGAAAUCAAUAUGACUAAAAAUCGAUAUUUAACCUGUUAUCAAGAGGAGUAUCCAUGCCAUAACACAAAGAGUCACCAUUUCGUUUUUCGGAAACCUCGAACCACAAUGACUCCUGUCCCGACCCAAACCCGGCAAGCCGAACCCCACCAAGAUGGCAGAGCUCACGCUAUAGAAAACCUGUUCAUAAUUAACCAUCCAUAAAAUCCAUACACCGUUAAAUCAUAAUCAAACAUAAUCCAUUCACCAAUUCUAAAUCUCACCAUAAAUCAAUCAUGCAAUCGGGAAUAUCAUAGUCAAUGGGUUUGUCUUCCAUCAUCAAUAAUAUACAAAAUACUCCAUAAGAUAUAUCCAUCUAAAUACCCAAGUCACAUUCCAAAAGAUAAUUACAAUUUUCACCAUUCAAACAUAACAUAUGCUCAUAAAUACAAGUCUUAAGGUUCCAUCAUGACCAACACCAAAACGCGAAACUAGCAUAAACUCAAACCUCUCUAAAUCUCUGGACUCCAAGGAGGCAAGCCUCAGCACAAAAUUAGUUAUCUGAAAAAUAAUUAACAACGAAAGCAUAAGCUACAAUGCAGUGAAUAUACCUAUACCAUGGAGACGAGGUUAAUAGAUGAACUAAGAUAAAAAAUAAACUUUUACUUCAUUAUUCUUUUUGAGAACAAACAAUUUCAAAACUUUCUAUGAAUAAUUCUAACAAAAGAAUGUCAUUCAUGUCAAGGCAAAUGCCGCAAAUCAUAACUACACUUAUUGCAUAUCAUUCGAAUUCACACUCUAUAUAAUAUCUCACAUCCAAUGAAUUGCUUAGGUUCGCGCUACCGCAGCCGGACCAAGUUGGUUACUCUCAAGCAAAAACAAAAAAAAAUUACCCAAAAUGGUUUGGCACAAUAAUCAUGUCCCAUUCCUUAGAGAAUAUCAGGCCUUAGCGCCAAUCACAUCAGUCAGGAAACUUAAAUACGGCCCUUGUGGUCCUUUAACUUUUCGGUCCCCAUGGGUAAGUAGGUUUCCUUAGUUGUAGGGAGAGGAAGAAGGAUGUACAGAGGGAGGAAGAGGGAAAGGAACGGAAAAGGAAAUGGAAAUGGAAAAGGCGAAACAAGUGCUUUUAUAUACAAAAAGUGGAGGGUAGUUAAUGAUAAACCUAGAUGGGUCUUGGGUUUGCAUCUAAGGUGGAUUGGGCUAUUAUAACUCCAUUUUAGGAGGUCACUGGUCCCUAAGCACUAGAGAACCUCGUUUAGUGAGUGGCUAGGCAAAGAGGUAUGGUAUAGGGCGGGCGAAUCCAAACCCCUUUAAUUACCCAACCAAUGGGUUGGCCUUCAAUUGGUCAUAAUGUACUUGUUAAUUAGCAUUGAUUAGGUGUUGAACAAACAAAAACAAAAUUGUUUCCCAAAUCCGUGCACCCCUUUUGAAAACAUUCGAGAAAUAAAUUUAAGAAACUUUCCAGAAUUAGACGAUUGAAAUUUCCAAACACAAUACUUUCCAAAACAAUUUAGGGAACUUUCUUAAACCAUAAGCUUUCCAAAAUAAUUUUUGGAAAACAUUCUAAAGCAAAGAAGAAUUUGCAAAAAAUAAAUAAAUUAAGGGAGCUUUCCAAAAUAGGAGCAUGGAUAUCAAAAACAGUGCAAAUAUAUGGAGUUCUAACACAAUCAAGGAGUAGCAACUAGAACACAAUCAAUAAGAAAAGAUAAAAAAAAUGAGAAGACAUUGAUUACAUGAUUACCAAAAAAAACUAACUCCUAAAUAUGUUAAUCAUCACAUAAUUAGGGAAAAUUAACCCUACUCCUGUUAAUGAUCAGUUUAGACGUACCAAAAUCAUACAAUAGGAUUGAACAACAAUAAUAGGAUUGAACACGGGAAACAGAGGCCAAGUAACAUGAACAACGAAAAAUAGGAUUGACUGACCUCUUGAUGAAAACGCAAGAAAUGUCGCAUAGGAAAGGCAAAUUCACCUUCUUCCCGAGCCCUCCCCUCAUGAUCCACAAACGAUCUGUCAGUCUUCUAGUCUUCACUCCUUCACUGUAACUUCCCCUUGAUCGCAUGCUUUGAGUUCCCUCAAUAGGAGGAUAGGGUAAGGUAUAUGGUGAUGGAAUCAGUAGUAGAGUAUGGAUGGAUGAGUGUUGGGUAUUCGGUGCGGCAGAGUAACGAUUUGUUAAGCAAAGUGUAGAACAUGGCGUAAAGAUGGAGUAAUAUUAUGUAGAGAUGAAGUGGCUAUGGUUUCAAUGUGAAGGGAAAAGGAGAUAGAAAAGCAGAAUGUCAAGUUUAAGAGGAUAUUUAUAGACCUAUGGUGGACUGAGGAUCAAGUUAGGGUUUCUUAAUGGUCAGGUUACGGUUUCUUAUGGUUGAUUCAUAGGAUAUUUGCUGACUUUGUUAGUUCCUUAAUUCAUUCAUAAUGGCCAAAAACAGAAAUCCUUGGUCAAAUUCAUUUUCAGAAAAUUCUGCUUCAGUGGCUCAAACUUGCAGAUCACCUUAUGGCUCUUCUAUAUAUACUUGAAAUUUGAAUAGCGAUUCAUGAACAGUUGGAAAGAUUUAUGUGUCUGCUUCCAAGCCCAAGUGGUUUGACAUCAAUAUCAUUUAUACGUUUUGAGGUAUGACAAAAUGCGCAACUCUCGUAAAAUGCCUAUAUUUCCUUUGUCUUAGAUUGGAUCAUGGCCAAAUUUAUAUUUUUGGAAAACUCUUUCAAAUUAAUUAAAGUUUUUGGAAACCAAAUUCAAAAAUUAUGGAACUUUGUUUUUGAAAUCAAGGCUGAAAGUAGUUUUGUAGUGCACCUGGGGUAAUUUGGUCAGUUUGCAAGGUUCAUUCCUAAAGGCCUCACCUGAGCUUGUGAUCAAUCAACGGACACUGAAGUUGGCAUUUUACCAUGAAUCAAAUAUUUCUCUCCUUUAUCGUUGGGAGAGGCCUAAGCAUUAUGUCCUGUCAUAAUGGGGUGUCGAUAAACAUCCCCACUUGUGUGAUCACUAGCUUGUCUCUACUGUGCAUAUUUUAAAGAGUCGAAAAGAAACACUGGGUAGAUUUUAUGAUUUAACUUCCUGUUGAUAUGAAUUAGCUCUAUGAAAUUCAAAUGUUAAAUUAUAUAGUACAUACAAAACAAUUUUCUUAUUUUUAAAAAAAAAUAGCUUUUGAUUAGAAAAUUCAACAUCCAGUUUUCAGUAUCUAGUUUAGAAUUUUUCAGUUUUUAGUUUUAUCAAACAACACUUGGUGUAGCUUCAUCAAUAAAAUAAAUCAGACUUCUAUUUUCGCAUUUUGUAAGCUCAUAAGAUAUUUGGAUGUUAGGUACAUGUUGCGUUCCCGCGUUUGGUUUUACAUCUUCAUGACGAUGAUCUCAGUGUCCGACAGGCUUGUCGGGUAAAUAAUUAGCAGUCAAUCCAUUCUCUUUUCUGCAUGUUACUUUCUGAGAAUAACACUUAAUUGAUUUUCAUUUGAUAGAACACCCUGAAAAGGAUUACCUUAGUAUUGGAAGUGGAAGGAAUGUUUGCCCUCUUCAACACACAAUGUUUUAGCUCUGACCAUAGGUAUGUGUUUGAUGAUACUGUCUGUGGUUGUCAUGUUUGGUGGAACUUUUGGCCUUUGACUUUUGUAGUAAAGGAACAAUUCCAACUGAGCACCUUUUCUGUACUUUUAGAGGCGACUAUGAAGACUUUGUCAGAGACCUCACAAGGCAGUGUAUUCAGCAUCUGGCUCCCAGAAUUGAUACUUACAUGACAUCAAUUAUACAGGUUUACUCUCUACUGAAAAACACUUGAGUAGAUAGGUUAAUUUAAUUGUUUUGAAACUGUGUUAAUGUUUUACCCUAUUUGACCCACUCAAUGUUCAAGUUGUCUUGAUGUGAAUUUGAGCCGAACCCAUAUAACUACUAGGAAAGGUUAAUUCUAUCAAAGAGGAAACAUGGUGGGAACCUUGAAAACUUCAAGACCCAAGAUUCCCGCGAGAUAUUAACUUUUAUUUUUGUUAGAUAAUUAUUGAUUAUUUUAUGGUUUGUAAUUAUUUCUGUGUUACAAUUUCGCGUUUUCUUCUUCUUUCUUCUAUAGACUUUUGCUAGUUCUCAGAACUUGGUGAUUCAACUCCCACAUGAUAUACUCCCUCCGUCCCAAUUUUUUUUCCCUUUUGGGGAAUCUAACUUUUGAAGGAGAUAAUGAUUAGACACUUUAAAAGUAUCAAAUUUCUGAAACUGCCCUUCAACAAUAUGAAAUUACGUAAAAAUGAAAAAAUGGAUGUCACGUCAAUUUAUAAGUGAAGGGGUAAAGUGGACAAAUAUUUUGGGACAUCCAAAUAUGAAAAGGUGGACAAAUAAUUGGGACAAGGAUUAUUUCUUUUUCGGUAAAUCCUCUCUCUCUCUCUCUCUCUCUCUCUCAUACACACAUGACUAUUAAAUGGGUUUCAUAGGUUGUCCCCUACCAGGCUACCACCCAUUUCAUAACCCAUGUAUUACCACCAACAGCAUGUGAAAUCUCAGAAUGAGUGCAUAUUCUCGCACACAUAAGGCUCCCCAAUGCGAUACCAUAUGGAACCCAGGACAUAUGCUUCUCUUCAUCCUCGUGCUGUGGUGACAAAUCUGCUAAAGUUCUGAAAUGUGCAGCCAAAGGAGUAGUCACAGGCGUCGAAUUCUGCUAAGCAAAGUGCUCAAGUACCUUCUUAAAUUCCUACAUUUCGGUCCCUGCAAAUCUCUUCACAACUGGUGAGAGUACCUCUUUGAAGUCCACGCCCUCUUUCUGAUUGUAGCCCUUUGCCACUGCUGAACCUUCCACCUUGCAUAAAAAGGAUUGUAUUUAAGACACCGUAUACUUCAAAACUGAUAUUUAGGGCUAUGUUCUGGUCGGCCCCGAAAUGUCAAGUGCCCUUGUCUUAACAUACUGACCUUGCCUGCCCCCCUCGCUACCACCAAACCACCAAGCAUAGGGGAGGGUCAAACGUAUCAACCUCCUAGAAUAAAUUUUUUGGGAUGUGGCUAUACGUGCCUCCUUGCUGCUUGAUAUGUAUUUAGGUUAUGUAUUCAGGUGGAAAUAUUGAGCCAAACAAUGUAACAACUCUAGGGCAUCAAUGACAAUUCUGUCUGGUGAUGCAGCCAAUUAUUCUUAGAGUUAUAUUUAUUUUUUUUUUGGAUGCCAAUAUCUAUAAUUAAAUGUCAUAAAUAUGGAGGCUUGACAGGUUAUUUUGGGAUUUCAAAGAAGUAGUCAAGGUUCUUUAAAUUUUGGGAACAUGAAGCAACACUGAAUUAAAGUCUUGCACUGGGUAUCCGAAGGACAACUUUGACAGCUUUUAUUACCACACUUUUUCUGUUUAUAAAAGGCUGUAAACACAAGUAAAAGGGAAGAUUAUUUUUCCAGAAAAUUACCACGUAACAGAGUGAUAAAGAGCUCUAUCCAAGCUAGGAUCUCAAGUAUUGGAAGUUUGGGUUUGAGGAGUCAACCCUGCAGCUACUUUCAAUCCCUCCACCGCUGCGUUUCUGCGCGAGAGGCUAGCAACCAGCUUCUAUUAUCUAUUGUUCACCUUUAUCUCCUUUUGUAGUGGAACAAAAGUCCAAGUUAACUACUUUCACCUUUCUAUUAUAAAUCGUAUUGUUUUGGGGUAUAAAUAAAAGUUGAUUCUUGUCUAUUUGAUUUACAUCAUCUGGCUUUGGUUUACUCCUGUGUAAAUUAUUUGCAGCCAGUAAUGAACAUUUUUUUUUAAAUCAGAGUAGAAGACGCUGUAGGCAUGAUAGAUUGAUAUUAUGCUUAAUAAUGAAAACUUUUCCUCAGUUAUCUUGCUAUUAUUCUCAGAAAUCUGUCUGCAAAACUUCCCGAGUUCACAAAUUAUUCGUCAUAUAUGUCCUGUAUUCUCAACAUUACCAUGCAAACCUGGGUGUGGUGUGGGUGUGGGGGUGGGGGGUGGGGGGUGAAUUGAAAAUGUGAGGGGUUUAAUAAUACAAUACUUCUGGUUGGUUUAUUUGGGGGAAAUACAUUGGUUAAAGAUAAAUAAAAACAUUUAUUGGCUUUAUUCCUGAUGUUGCAGGCAUAUGACGCUCCUUGGCCAGUUAUUCAAGCAAAUGCCAUUUACUUCUCCAGCUGUAUGCUUUGCCUUUCAGAUGAUCAACACAUGUCAGCUAUAUAUUAUACUCAGGUCAUUAUCAGAAACAUUUACAUUUGUUAACGUUAAAUACGUAAACCAAACGCUGUAGCAUAUAUUAUUGAUGGUCAAUGACGUAACAAACUAUCUAAGCAUGCACUAUAUCUUAUGCUCAUUUGUGAUGAUUAAAAUACUUGCACCUAUCUGGCCCGCUUAUUGAAGUCUCGCCACACAUUACGGGGGUGUUGGAAAUAAAUAAUAAAGUUACCCCUAUCUCUAAUAGCUUAAGUUGGUCAUCAACUAUCUGACAAUAUCUUUGCCUUCUUUUAGGUGUUUGGUAUGGUGGUGACCAAAAUGAGUCAGUCUGCUGAUGCAAUUGUUAGAGCAACUUGCUCCUCAGCCCUAGGCUUGCUGCUAAAAUCUACCAAUUCACUAUCAUGGAGAAUUGUUCGCCUUGAUUGAGUGGAUUUGAUUACAGUUUUGUGAAGUGGGAUGAAAUUAUCAUUUUAUUGGGAGGUUUGCCUCUUCUCCUCAAUGAAAUGCACAGUGAAUAAGCUCGAUCUGGUCGGUUGUAUUGCAGUCUACUGUAACCUAGUGAUGCAAUUGUAUUAUGUAGACUUCUCGAAUUACAAGCUACAAAAAGAGUGGAGUAAAACAGGCCCAGAAGCUCUGUAACUGCAAUGUUUGUAUAAUGUACAGCUGUCGUUUCAUGCUUGUAUAGUGAUUAGGCUAUUGUCAUUUGUAUAGUUUUGUAGCGAGUAGUUUAGGUUGUUUUGUGAAUUGUUUGUCAAGUCCUUUGUAGUUUAUGUAAAAUGAUAUUGUAUGAAAUUUGUGAUGCUAUAUGUUGUAAACUGUAUCGAAGAGAACUGAUUAUGUUGUAAACUGUAUCGAGCGAUGGUUAUCAUUUAAGUCAUUAUCCUUGUGAUUUUUGCUUGGUAGAUCAUCCAGCUAUUUGAGUGCAGAUUAGAGAGUAGAAAAGUUUCACUUAUUAAAGCUCGACUGCCUGCUUGAAAAGUAUGAAAGCGAAACAACAAGAGCAGAGUCGAUGGCAUGUUGAGUGGCUGUUGGAUAUUCUAUUAGAUCUAUGCUGUGACUCCAACUAAUUGCAUGAUUUGACUUGUGUGGAUCGAGUAAGCCAUGUCUCUGUAAUGCAUCUCACUCAAAGGCUCAACCAUAGAUGGCCUGAUA
rnacentral:lncRNA from 1 species